rnacentral:rRNA from 1 species
AUGCUUCAUUUCGCUUCGAGCCAGGGCUGCCUGGUGAGCUUCCGGUUCCUGGUGGCGGAGGCGGGGCUUGAUGUCAACUCGGAGUCAAAUACAGGCGUGACACCCAUGUUCUUCGCCGCACUCCAGGGGAAUGUCCAAGUUAGUGGCCCUGCGAUGCCCGACGAGAGGGGCUCCACGCCGCUGUACAGUGCAGCAGCAGCAGGGCACUGUGAGGCUGUAUGGCUAUUGCUGUCCAAAGGAGUUCAUGUGGAUCCUAUCGAUUACCGAGGGACACUAUUACACUUGGCUGCUGUGAAGGACCACGAUCAGGUUGUAAUGGUUCUACUGGAGCAUGGGGCUGAUCCCAAUAAAGCUGCCCAUCACGUAUUUUCACCACUCAUGAUGACUGUCUGUGGGAAGUCCUUGAAAUGCAUGAGGCUACUUAUUGAGGCUAGUACCGAUGUGAGCGUUCGUGAUUACUCUGGACCAACUCCUUUAAUGGAGGCUGUUGAUGAUGGCUUAACCGGCUUUGUCAAGAUCUUGCUAGAUGCUGGAACCAACCCUAACAUCCCUAACCAGCAUGGAGCAAUUCCUAUCGAGCUAGCAGCAGAUAGUGGUCGACACAAGCUUGUUCAAAUUCUGUUACCUAGGACAAAACCAUUUAAAUCUCUGCCAUAUUGUAGUGUUGGUGGGACAAUUACAACUCUGAAUUCUACAAAAAUCAAUGCUCCUCAGUUUGGUAAUGCAGGAUUAGAUGUUCCACGAGCUGCAGGCCAAACCAUGAAAGCAAUUAUGGAACUACUGAGAGUUUGUACUAUGUACCUGUUGCUGGUCUUUUUGCUUGCCAUCCUUCUAUUAUCUACUGGGGUGCAUUCCAUCACACAUGAUACAAGUUUCAAUGAGGGCACUUGUCGAUAUGACAUGAUCAGUGUUGCAGUCCUCUCAUGCAUGCAACCGGACAAGUCAUGGAAGUCACCCUCAGUCUCAUGCUGCAAAGCACUGACACAUGCAAUUGAUGAGUUGCCGGCUGGCGGUGAGAAUGGAAAGUGUUGUUUAUGCCGUUUCAUGAGGGCUUCAUUAUCCUGA